rnacentral:rRNA from 1 species
GAUUGCCUACGGGACGCAGCAGUAGGGAAUCUUCCACAAUGGGCGAAAGCCUGAUGGAGCAACGCCGCGUGGGUGAAGAAGGUCUUCGGAUCGUAAAACCCUGUUGUUAGAGAAGAAAGUGCGUGAGAGUAACUGUUCGCGUUUCGACGGUAUCUAACCAGAAAGCCACGGCUAACUACGUGCCAGCAGCCGCGGUAAUACGUAGGUGGCAAGCGUUAUCCGGAUUUAUUGGGCGUAAAGGGAACGCAGCCGGUCUUUUAAGUCUGAUGUGAAAGCCUUCGGCUUAACCGGA